UGAAGAUUAGCAUGACCUCUGCGCAAAGAUGACAUGCAGAUUCCUGAAGCGUUCCUUAUUUUC
rnacentral:snRNA from 1 species